rnacentral:rRNA from 1 species
UAGCCGGCUGAGCAAGUCCUUCGUUAAAUCCAGCGAUUUAAUCGUUGGAUUGCGGGGGAUACUGUUCGGCUUGGGGGUGAGAGAGGCCAACGGUAUUUCCGGGGUAGGGGUGAAAUCCUAUAAUCCCGGGAGGACCACCAGUGGCGAAGGCUGUUGGCUAGAUCAUGCCCGACGGUGAGGGAUGAAAGCUUGGGGAGCGAACCGGAUUAGAUACCCGGGUAGUCCAAGCUGUAAACGAUGCAGGCUAGGUGUUAGGGCGGCCACGUGCCGCUCUAGUGCCGCAGGGAAGCUGUUAAGCCUGCCGCCUGGGGAGUACGGCUGCAAGGCUGAAACUUAAAGGAAUUGGCGGGGGAGCACCACAAGGGGUGAAGCUUGCGGUUUAAUUGGAGUCAACGCCGGGAACCUUACCGGGGGCGACAGCAGAAUGAAAGCCAGAUUUAAGGUCUUGCUAGACGAGCUGAGAGGAGGUGCAUGGCCGUCGCCAGUUCGUGCCGUGAGGUGUCCUGUCAAGUCAGGCAACGAUCGAGACCCUCAUCCAUUGUUGCGGCCAAGGAGGUUUCUCCGAGGAGCAAGACUGUGGAGACUGCCGCCGAUAAGGCGGAGGAAGGAGUGGGCCACGGCAGGUCAGUAUGCCCCGAAUCCCUCGGGCCACACGCGAGCUGCAAUGGUAGGGACAGUGAGCUUCCAACCUCGAAAGGGGGAGGUAAUCUCUAAACCCUGCCUCAGUUUGGAUUGAGGGCUGCAACCCGCCCUCAUGAAU